rnacentral:sRNA from 1 species
UAUAGAAAAUGUUUGAAUUGUUUCUUGAUUUAAUUCCUUUGUGUCUUCAUCAUUCUUACAUGUAUGUACAUGAUGUAAUCUCCAGACUAUCUAAAAACAUUCCUUUUUUAAUUCUAGCCUUAUUUUCUAACACAAUACAUGUUAUUCACUGAAAGUACAAAAAUAUACUGUAAUCUCAGGAUGAGAUGUUUCCCAUACAGUUAUAACUGCAUUGUAAAUGUAAUAUAUAUGUACACAUAUAAACAUGUAACUACAUAAUCUUUUUAGAGAUUUGAAAACGAAAAUUUUAGUUACGAUCACCAAAACAAAAGUAAAGCGAGAACAUAAAUUAAAAUUUAUGAUGUUCUUUUGAGACUUUUUAAAAAAAACUUUACAAGCUAUUCAAAAACGAAGAAAGAUAUUUCUCACUUUAAAGUUAUACACCUGUAGACAAAAAAUUAAAGUUAUUGGAAGGGGGGGGGCAAAAUUAAAUUCCACAAUUUCACAAGUGCUAAAUUCUUUUAUGGUUUUCUAUUUUUUGCCAUCUGUUCAUAGAAUCCAAAAUCAUCUAGACAUAAGGAGUAAUACAUUUUAGUUACAUUUGGUGCCAGCAUUGCUUACUUGAAUUAUAUUUGUGAUAUAUUGUCUAGUUUGUGAUACAUGUAAACAAAAUUAUAUAUUGUCUUUUUUCUGUGUACAUAAACAGUGUGAAAUUCAAUGUACAUGUUGUAUAUAUGUAGAUAUUUCUGUGUACAGACAAUUAAUUGAUGAUGGUAUAUUUGAUAACCAAGAUAAUAUUGUGUUAUAACCAAAUAGUUUCUCGUUUUCUUUUCAAAUACAGUGAGCUUAAUCUUGGUUGUAAAUUCAUUAAAUUGUGAUUUCCAGUC